CACGGAUAACAUACCGAAAGGUAUGCUAAUACGGGAUAAUAUAUUUGAGAGGCAUCUCUUGAAUAUCAAAGGUGAGCCAGUACAGGAUGGACCCGCGUCUGAUUAGCUAGUUGGUAAGGUAACGGCUUACCAAGGCGACGAUCAGUAGCCGACCUGAGAGGGUGAUCGGCCACAUUGGAACUGAGACACGGUCCAAACUCCUACGGGAGGCAGCAGUGGGGAAUAUUGCACAAUGGGCGAAAGCCUGAUGCAGCAACGCCGCGUGAGUGAUGAAGGCCUUCGGGUCGUAAAACUCUGUCCUCAAGGAAGAUAAUGACGGUACUUGAGGAGGAAGCCCCGGCUAACUACGUGCCAGCAGCCGCGGUAAUACGUAGGGGGCUAGCGUUAUCCGGAUUUACUGGGCGUAAAGGGUGCGUAGGCGGUCUUUCAAGUCAGGAGUGAAAGGCUACGGCUCAACCGUAGUAAGCUCUUGAAACUGGGAGACUUGAGUGCAGGAGAGGAGAGUGGAAUUCCUAGUGUAGCGGUGAAAUGCGUAGAUAUUAGGAGGAACACCAGUUGCGAAGGCGGCUCUCUGGACUGUAACUGACGCUGAGGCACGAAAGCGUGGGGAGCAAACAGGAUUAGAUACCCUGGUAGUCCACGCUGUAAACGAUGAGUACUAGGUGUCGGGGGUUACCCCCUUCGGUGCCGCAGCUAACG
rnacentral:rRNA from 1 species